CCUACGGUGGGCAGCAGUGAGGAAUAUUGGACAAUGGACGAGAGUCUGAUCCAGCCAAGUAGCGUGAAGGAUGACUGCCCUAUGGGUUGUAAGCUUCUUUUAUCUGGGAAUAAAAUGUUCCCCGUGUAGGAUUUUGUAUGUACCAUAUUAAUAAGGAUCGGCUAACUCCGUGCCAUCAUCCGCGGUAAUACGGAGGAUCCGAGCGUUAUCCGGAUUUAUGGGGUUUAAAGGGAGCGUAGGUGGAUUGUUAAGUCAGUUGUGAAAGUUUGCGGCGCAACCGUAGAAUUGCAGUUGAAACUGGCAGGCUUGAGUACAGGAGAGGUGGGCGGAAUUCGUGGUGUAGCGGUGAAAUGCUUAGAUAUCACGAAGAACUCCGAUGGCGAAGGCAGCUUACUGGACUGCAACUGACACUGAGGCUCGAAAGUGUGGGUAUCAAACAGGAUUAGAUACCCUAGUAGUC
rnacentral:rRNA from 1 species